GGUUGAUCCUGCCAGCAAUCAUAUGCUUGUCUCAAAGAUUAAGCCAUGCAUGUCUAAGUAUAAGUGUUUAUACUGCGAAACUGCGGAUGGCUCAUUAUAUCAGUUAUAAUCUACUUGAUCGAUUCUGUUACUUGGAUAACUGUAGGAAUUCUAGAGCUAAUACAUGCAAAAAGUCUGGAUCGGGGGGUGGUAACACACACUCUAGGAAGGACGCAUUUACUAGUCGAGAAAUCAGGAUGGGGCGUUAACCUUUGGGCAACCGAAGGGUUCCAUUUUACAACAGACGAUUCACA
rnacentral:rRNA from 1 species